GACGAACGCUGGCGGCGUGCCUAACACAUGCAAGUCAACUUGACUGAAGGAGCAAUCUGACAGUAGAGUGGCGCAAGGGUGCGUAACGCGUAAGUAACUUGCCCCAAGGUAAGGAAUAACGUCGAGAAAUCGGCGCUAAUACCUCAUAAUGCAGCGGAUCCGCAUGGAUAUGUUGUUAAAGGUUUACCGCCUUGGGAUAGGCUUGCGUCUGAUUAGUUAGUUGGUGUGGUAACGGCACACCAAGGCUACGAUCAGUAACUGGUCUGAGAGGAUGAUCAGUCACACUGGAACUGAGACAUGGUCCAGACUCCUACGGGAGGCAGCAGUGAGGAAUAUUGGGCAAUGCUCGAAAGAGUGACCCAGCAACGCCGCGUGGAGGAUGAAGGUAUUCUAUAUCGUAAACUCCUGUGAGAGCAGACGAAAGACAGAUUAUUAAUCUGGAUGACUGUAUGCU
rnacentral:rRNA from 1 species